AUAAAAUCAAAUAUAUCAUAAUUCAAAUCACCCUGUACAACAAUUUCAUCCUUCUUAUCAGCUGUUUUAGUGACACUGGCUCCGGUCGCGAACUUGUUGGCCAACAUCUUAGCAGCUUUUUUCGUUUCGAUCCCAAAUGCGUCAAGACCUUGAACUGUGGUGACUCUCUUUCUUUUAGUUCUUUCAAUGGUUUUUAUCAAAACCUUGGAUGCCAUACGUUUGGCUUCUUCACGCUCAACGCGCUUUUCCUCCUUCGUCAAUUUUGCCGGUUGUUCUUCUGCAUUAGAAUCUUUAGUUCCGCUA